UACAGAGGUCUCAAGCGUUGUUCGGAUUCAUUGGGCGUAAAGGGUGCGUAGGUGGCGCUGUAAGUCGGGUGUGAAAUUUCGGAGCUUAACUCCGAAACUGCAUUCGAUACUGCGGUGCUUGAGGACUGGAGAGGAGACUGGAAUUCAUGGUGUAGCAGUGAAAUGCGUAGAGAAUCAUGAGGAAGACCAGUGGCGAAGGCGGGCUCUGGACAGUUCCUGACACUGAGGCACGAAG
rnacentral:rRNA from 1 species